rnacentral:lncRNA from 1 species
GGUGGUGGAGGUGAUUUAUACUCAUAGGGUGGUGGGGGUGAUGGUGAAGGAGGUGGGGGAGACUUAUAUUCAUAAGAUGGAGACUUGUGCUCAUAGGGUGGAGGUGGUGGAGAUUUGUAAAUGUAAGAUGGUGGAGGUGACGGUGAGGGAGGCGGUGGUGACUUGUAAAUGUAAGGUGGUGGUGGUGAUGGUGAUGGUGGUGGGGGUGACUUGUACUGGUAAGAUGGAGCCUUGUGCUCAUAUGGUGGUGGAGGUGACGGUGAUGGAGGUGGUGGUGACUUGUAAAUGUAAGGUGGUGGAGGUGAUGGUGAUGGAGGUGGGGGUGACUUGUACUGGUAAGAUGGUGCCUUGUGCUCAUAUGGAGGCGGUGGUGACGGUGAUGGAGGCGGUGGUGACUUGUACACAUAAGGUGGUGGAGGAGAAGAGUAAAUAUAACUAUCUGCAGCAGCAGAAACCACAGAAGUCGAAAUCAAAACAAUGACGAAUGCCAUUGCCAUUGGUGGCCAGUUAUGACCCCUUUUGGGGCUACUGGCCUUAGCAGUCAUGGGUAGAAUGAAAA